UUGAAAAUCGCUGGCAUAUCCUGUUUACACAGAAUAAAGGUUGGAAUCUGAGGCUCUGAGGUGAACAGUUUUCCUGUGUGUUGCAGGGGAUCACCUCCAGUCUGUGCAGUUUAGUUACCUACAGAAAUCUGAAUGCAUCCCACUAGGUUCCUCUACUGCCCAAGAAGCCUCUGGUUCUGUCCUUGUGUUGGACUGGUUAGUUUCGUCUUCAUGAAGAAAAACUGUAACAUGAAAAUAUACAAAGCACAAAUAAGAAGUUGUAGCUGCUGCUAUCUGAACAGAAUUAAGAAGAAAGUACUUCCACAGUCAUAGCCGAUGAAGAUCCCCCGAUAAAUCAAUCAGGAGUUUUGGCCUGCCCUCCAAAGAAAAGGACGUUGUACUAUAUAUGCUCCUGUGUUUUUGUCCAGCUCUACCUUCCCCAGCUCCUGUUUUCUCUCCACAAGUAACAUAGACCUAGCUGCUCAGGGCUGGUAAGGUCCUAAGCAAAUUGUAAACAGGCAUACUUCCUGGGCCCAGUACCUUUGCCCAGCCGCCAGAUGGCUCUGUGCUCAUUUCAAAAACAGCAGACAUCAUUAGUUGUUUCUUACUACAUGUUUGCCAUUGUGCAUUCACUAUUUGGGGAGGAGGGAUGGUAAGUUUCACAUAAUGGAAAAAGAGGAAAAUAUUCUGGAGAAAUGCUUUAUGUGUGUCCCAUAGAUUCUUUUAAUUUUGUGUUCUAUUUUAAACUUUGUAGACACUGGUUAAAAAAAAAAGUAACUUUAAGCUUUCAACUAAAUGAACCACUUGGUGAAGUUACAAAAACCUCAUCUGUAGAGAUCCUGCACAGUCAAGCCUCUGUGGGCUCCCUCUCCCUUGCCUGGCCAAGGUCCUUCUGCCACACCGCAGCUGGGCAGUGUGGUGCCAGGUGUGGAAAGCUAUCAAAUCGAAUGAACUUUUUCCUGGAGAAAUUUUUAUUAAAAAAAGAAAAGAUUCAUCCUUCCAUGUCCUAAAAGCAGAGAGGGGGCUUACAUGUUAAGAUGAGGUUUAACACAAGUUAUUGAAGGAUAAAACGGAGCAGAAUCCAAACAGGAGAGAUCAAAGGAUGUUUAGCUUUUGAAAUUGAUCAGUUUACAUAUUUAGGCAACAAAUGCAAUGCCUCAGUCAGGUUGCAACUAUUAUAAAGAUGGAAACAUUUUGGGCAACAUGCACAUUCAUCUGCAAAGAUAACAAUUUCAGACAGAAACAGGAGUGUCAGGAAAGGUGUGACAGUUCUGGUUGGAUAUUUAGAAGAACACAGUACUGGUCAGCUCUGAAGUCUCCACCCUCAAAAUAGGUCCUUACACUUUUCUGGCCUAAAGCUGAUCGGGCAGCAGCGCAUAGUAUCCUUCCAUGGUCGUCCAGGUCAUCACGAAGAUGACCCUCGUGGUGGGAUGCCUGGGCAGUGCCAGAGAAGAGAGAAGCAGCGCUUUCCUAAAUGGUGGUCAGCAGCCGGAAGUGGUGAGAGUUGGGGGGAAGGUAGGGAGGAAACAUUUGACAGAAAUGCCAGAGGAGCACUUUAGUCCCUAACUGUUUAUUUAGCUUCUAAAUGCAGAGGGAUUGUCUUUGAGAAGGAAAAUAGUAGGUGAUUUCCACAGACUACAAUUAUGAUAUCCUUUUUUUUAAUACUAUUCUGAUGAAAAGAUUAACAUGAUACUAGGAAGUCAGUGACAAGGGACAGGGGAAAAAGAAGUGUUACAAGCUCAUGUCUGCAGGGACCAAACAGGUAGAAGAAUGAAAUGGGCCAGGUGGACCUGGGAAACUAUCACAUGUCCAAUCUAAAGGGCAGCCCCUUUUCAGUGCCAGCUGAUUGUAAGCCCAGUAUUCAUUCAGCAAAUAAUUACUGCAUGUCUACCAUGUGUUGUGCUCUUCUGGGCACUGGGAAUUAAGUAGGAAAUCAAAGGGACAAAAGUCCCUGCCAUUGUGACACCUUUUAAUGGAAGGAAACAGAUAAUAGAUAGCAAAUGCAAUCAAUAAGUACAUUUUUCAUUAUACUAGAUGAUGAUGACUGGUUAGAAAUAGCAGGUCAGGAUAAGGAAAAUCAGGAGUGCUGAUGAGGGGUGGGCUUACAGUUUUAAGUAAGGAUGGUCAGGGUUGGAUUUUUUGAGGUGAGAUUUUAGUAUUGACUGUGAAGGAGUGAAGCACUGAGAUUUCUGGAGAUACAGUGAACAUUCAGUGCAAAGGCCUAAAGUAGAGCCUGCUUGGGUUGUCCAAGCAACGGAAAGGAGAAGGCCAGAGCUGAGUGAGCAGGCAGGAGAGUGGGAGGAGACACAGGCAGACAGGCACAAGACCUGUGUACGCCGCCUCAUAGGCCAUGCAGGCCGUGGCUUGUACUUUGGGAGAAGUAGGAGGCCACUGGAAUGUGAGUACCGGAGUGACUUGAUCUGACUUCUGUUUGAAUGAAACCAUUGGGGGGUACUAUAUUGAGGUAGGGUGCAGGGGGAAAGGAUAAAAACACUAAGACCAGUUAAUCAGCGGUUAACCCAGGCAAGAGAUGAUGUUGCCAGACCUUCCAGGUAUUUAAAGGAACUGGAAUCUUGACCUUAAUGAUUUUCCUUGAGUUUUUCUAUGUUAGCAACUAAUUUAAGAAAAGCAAACAGUUUGAGUCAACCUAAAUAAGUCUAUGAUUCUGCCAUGUGUUGACAAUUUGCUACCUUGGGUGUAGAAGUGGAGGGAUUCAGAGUAAGCUGAGGACUCUGGGCCCAGCUAACUUGGGGAGGGUAAGAUUUGAUUUGAAGCUCACAUGAAAGCUUGACUUUGAUUUGCACAUGAAACUGAAGGAAGGGAAAGAUAAUGGCCCGCAACUAUUCACAACACCCAAAAAGUAGAAACAGCCCAAAUGUCCAUCAGCUGAUGAAUGGAUAAAAAAAUA